rnacentral:rRNA from 1 species
GAUGAACGCUAGCGGCAGGCUUAAUACAUGCAAGUCGAGGGGCAUCAAGGUACACGAAAGUGUAUUGUUGGCGACCGGCGGACGGGUGAGUAAUAGGUAGGUAACCUACCUCAUACUGAGGCAUAGCUGGGAGAAAUUCCAGGUAAUUCCUCAUGAGGUUAUAUGACACAUGUGAUAUAAUCAAAGGUAUCGCAAGGUACUGGUAUGAGAUGGGCUUACUGACCAUUAGCUAGUUGGUGAGAUAAGAGCUCACCAAGGCGAAGAUGGUUAGGGGUUUUGAGAGAGAGAUCCCCCACAUUGGAACUGAGAUACGGUCCAGACUCCUACGGGAGCAGCAGUAGGGAAUAUUGGGCAAUGGGCGAAGCCUGACCCAGCCAUGCCGCGUGAAGGAAGACGGCCUUAUGGGUUGUAAACUUCUUUACUAUGCGACUAACUAGAUUUACGAGAUAAUUCUAUAGAAUGUAGCAUAGCAAAAGCACCGGA